ACCCUCCAGUUCCCUUUCCCAUUGGAUUUGAACCCUGGUCUCAGUGGUCAUAAAAGGAGGAAUAGUAGUCCUGAAGCUGUGCUCAUAGCGUCUGCUAUAUAGCAUGUGGGCUAGUUUAAAACAAGG
rnacentral:snoRNA from 1 species